rnacentral:rRNA from 1 species
GGCUAGGCUUGUAAAAAUUUAUACUUUAUUUGGUUUUUAUUAUAGUUGGGUUUAUUAUUUUUAAUAAUCAUAGGUUAAAUUUUGAUUAUUUUUAGUUUUUAACUAUAAUUUUAAGAUUUGGUAAGCGAAUUAGAUUAGUACCUAAUUAGUCAAAAGUUAAAAAGGCAGGAGUAAAGUUGUGUUUAAACUGAAAGAAUAUUGGCAGAUUUUCUAAAUUAUCUUUGGAGGCUGAGUAAUAAUUGAGAACCCUCAUUAACUACUUUUAAAUAUUUGUCUCAUGUAUGAUCGUUUAUUUUAUGCUUAAGGUAUAUAAUGAAAAAUUUUUAUUUGUUAAAAUAGAUAUAUAUUUGGUUUAUGUAAGAGUAAAAUUUGGCCUACAAUAAGUUGUGUUUGUGGAUUUAUAAUUUAGUAGUUAUAAUUAAAAUGUAAAAGACAGUAAAAAAAUUUUUAUGUUUUUUUGAAGAGUAUUUAGAUGUGGCA